rnacentral:RNase_P_RNA from 1 species
GAAGCUGGCCAGACAGUCGCCGUCGCAUUUUAUCUGUCAAUUUAUUGCCAUGGUAAUGAGAAGACCUUGCGGUCUUCUUGAAGUGAGGGAGGAAAGUCCGGGCUGCACAGAGCAGGAUGACGGCUAACGGCCGUACGUUGAAGUUUUUUUGGCGAAAGCUGGAAAAUAUAAGACGCGGAAUAGGGCCACAGAGACGAGCGUAUUUAGUUACGGUGAAACGCGGUAACCUCCAUCUGCAGCAAUAUCAAAUAGGCUGGCAUUUUUACGCAAGUAAAUAAAGCGUGGUUCGCGCUGCCAGCGGGUAGAUAGCUUGAGCGUACAAGUAAUUGUGCGCCUAGAUGAAUGACUGUCAGCCUUAGCAAUAAGGUCUACAAAACCCGGCUUAUCGGCCAGCUUCACAC